AGACGAAGGUGGCGACCGUUGUUCGGAAUCACAGGGCAUAAAGAGCACGUAGGCGGAUGUGUAAGUCGGGUGUGAAAUCCCUCGGCCUAACCGAGGAAUUGCGCCCGAAACUGCGUGUCUUGAGGGCAGGAGGGGAGCGUGGAAUUCCUGGUGGAGCGGUGAAAUGCGUUGAUAUCAGGAGGAACACCGGCGGCGAAGGCGACGCUCUGGCCUGCUUCUGACGCUGAGGUGCGAAAGCCAGGGGAGCAAACGGGAUUAGAUACCCCGGUAGUCCUGGCCGUAAACGAUGGGCACUAGGUAGGGGGGUCCCAAUGCCUCCCUGCUGGAGAUAAUUUUUUAAGUGCCCCGCCUGGGGAGUAUAGUCGCAAGGCUGAA
rnacentral:rRNA from 1 species